UCACCGGGUUUGCAUUCAUUC
rnacentral:miRNA from 1 species